AGUCCUGAUUUUAAGGGUUUGGAUAGCAGUAUUUAAAAAUCAGAGUUACCUCCCUUUGUCAGUUUUAUUGUGUUUUGUGUGCAUUCAUGUGCAUUGACCCUAGGUCACUAUUUUUCCCUCUGAAAUGCUUUAAUUUCAUUGGAUUAGCCUCUGAUAAGAUAUCUGGUCAUUGUCUAGAUUGUCAUGUUUCUGAAAGCAUGUAUUGAACUUUUUAUUUUAAGAAUAGUUGAAUUUAUAUUGGAUUAUUACAGACCUAAACAGAUCACAGUGUGUUUGUGUGUGUGUUUUUCUGGACUGAGUACUGCUGUAACAUAUGGUGCAUUUAGGUCCACAACCUGGAUGUGUUUUUACCAUACAUUAUGGAGACAGAUCUACCAAUAUUAAAAUAGUAAACUGUAUACAAUGGUAUGGCUCAUUGACCCACAAAGGAAUAACAAGAAGAACCCAUCCCCAUAAACGAUAAACACUUAUUAGUUAUACUGCCAAUUAUUACGGCAAAACAGUACAAACUAACAGAGUGACAAUUAUAAAUCAACUCUCAGCACUGGGUUCAACAUGAAUACUUACUAUGCAAUCUGAUAUACCUUUUUACCUUUAACUCUUUCACAUUGCUCUCUCACAGAACUACAGCCUACUCACUUAUCUUUACUAGCGAGGUUCAACUAGCUCUAGAAAAAGAAGAAGAAGCUAUAUUAAUUAUCUUCAACAUCUAGCAGCAAAUAAACUAGAUCUACUAAUUAUAAAAUAUAACUUUCCAAACUGAAAACAUGAACU